rnacentral:rRNA from 1 species
CGGGCGCACGGCGGAUGCCUUGGCACAGGGAGCCGAUGAAGGACGCGGCAAGCUGCGAUAAUCCCCGGCGAGGAGCACACAUCCUUCGACCCGGGGGUCUCCGAAUGGGCGAACCCAUGCACAGCAGUGUGCAUAUCCCCACCCCGAACACAUAGGGGCGGGGAGGACAACCCGGGGAACUGAAACAUCUAAGUACCCGGAGGAGAGGAAAUCAAUCUCGAGACUCCCCGAGUAGCGGCGAGCGAAAGGGGACCGAUGGCCAAACCGUCGAGCGGGCAUACCCGGCAGGGGUUCCGCCGACGGGGUUGCAGGGCCGCGCAUCCGGGGGCUGCCGCCCCCGGGCGCAGGUCCGGCUGGGGAGCGGAACGGCAUGGGAGGGCCGGCCGCAGCGGGUGACAGCCCCGUACGCGAACCCAGACCGGACGGCGCGACGCGGUCCCUGAGUAGGGCCGGGCACGUGAAACCCGGUCCGAACCUGGGUGGACCACCAUCCAAGCCUGAGUACUACCCUGUGACCGAUAGCGCACCAGUACCGUGAGGGAAAGGUGAAAAGCACCCCGGGAGGGGAGUGAAACAGUACCUGAAACCGUGCGCCCACGAGCAGUCGGAGCAACUUUUAGUUGUGACGGCGUGCCUUUUGUAGAAUGAGCCAGCGAGUCGCUGGCGCGGGGCGAGGUUAACCGAAAGGGAGCCGGAGCGAAAGCGAGCCUUAACAGGGCGACUUGAGUCCCGCGCCGCGGACGCGAAGCCGGGUGAGCUAUCCGUGGGCAGGCUGAAGCGGGGGUAAGACCCCGUGGAGGGCCGAACGCACGUCGGUUGAAAACGGCGGCGAUGACCUGCGGAUAGGGGUGAAAGGCCAAUCAAACCCGGAGAUAUCUCGUUCUCCCCGAAAUAGCUUUAGGGCUAGCGUCGCGCGUUCACCGCCGGAGGUAGAGCACCGGAUGGACGAGGGGGCUUCGCCGCCUACCGAAUCCAACCGAACUCCGAAUGCCGGCGGCCCAGAGCGCGGCAGUCAGAGCAUGUGGGCUAAGCUGUGUGCUCGAGAGGGAAACAGCCCGGACCGCCCGCUAAGGUCCCCAAGUUCCAGCCGAGUGGCAAAGGAUGUGCGUCCGCCCAGACAACCAGGAUGUUGGCUUAGAAGCAGCCAUGCAUUCAAAGAGUGCGUAACAGCUCACUGGUCGAGUGGACAUGCGCCGACAAUACACGGGGCUAAGCUGGACACCGAAGCGGCGGGAUUUUAAUUCAUUAGAAUCGGUAGGGGAGCUUCCCAUGGGCGGAGAAGCCGGAGGGCGACCGACGGUGGAGCGCAUGGGAGUGAGAAUGCUGGCAUGAGUAGCGAGAGACGAGAGAGUAACUCGUCCGCCGUGAACCCGAGGUUUCCUGGGCAAGGCUAAUCCUCCCAGGGUCAGUCGGGGGCUAAGGCGAGGCCGGUAGGCGUAGCCGACGCGCAGCAGGCAGACAUUCCUGCACCGCGCACGCGGCGCUACGACCGACGGGGCGACGGAUGGGGGUGGCUCGGCGGGGUUCUGGACGUCCCCGUGAUGGAGCGCGGCCCGCGGACCAGGGAAAUCCGGUCCGCAUUGAGGGCGAGGCUCCGGACGAAGCGACUGAGCGAAGCGAGUGAGCCCGAGGUCCCUAGAAAAACCCCUAGGCAGGCGCGUGCGCGCCCGUACCGCAAACCGACACAGGUGGGUGGGUAGAACAUACCGAGGCGAUCGGGUCAACCAUGGUCAAGGAACUCGGCACAAUGGCCCCGUAACUUCGGGAGAAGGGGUGCCCGCGCGUACGUGAACGGACUUGCUCCGGGAGCGGAGGCGGGCCGCAGUGGAGAGGCCCAAGCGACUGUUUACCAAAAACACAGGACUCUGCAGAAGAGCCCCGAAGCCAAGCCCCGGUAAACGGCGGCCGUAACUAUAACGGUCCUAAGGUAGCGAAAUUCCUUGUCGGGUAAGUUCCGACCUGCACGAAAGGCGCAACGACUUGGGCGCUGUCUCGACCAUGGACCCGGUGAAAUUGCACUGGUCGUGAAGAUGCGACUUACCCGCGGAAGGACGGAAAGACCCCGUGAACCUUCACUGCAGCUUGGCAUUGGCCGCUGGUCCCGCGUGUAGAGGAUAGGCAGGAGGCAUCGAUCCGGAGGCGCCAGCCCCCGGGGAGCCGCCCUUGGAAUACUGCCCUCGCGCGACCGGCGUCCUAACCCGAGGCCGUCAACCGGCUCGGGGACCGUGCCAGGCGGGCAGUUUGACUGGGGCGGUCGCCUCCUAAAGGGUAACGGAGGCGCGCGAAGGUCCGCUCGGGACGGUCGGCAACCGUCCUUUUGAAUGCAAGAGUACAAGCGGGCUUGACUGCGAGGCCCACAAGCCGAGCAGGUGCGAAAGCAGGCUCUAGUGAUCCGGCGGCCCCGAGUGGGUGGGCCGUCGCUCAACGGAUAAAAGGUACUCCGGGGAUAACAGGCUGAUCUUGCCCAAGAGUCCACAUCGACGGCAAGGUUUGGCACCUCGAUGUCGGCUCAUCGCAUCCUGGGGCUGGAGCAGGUCCCAAGGGUACGGCUGUUCGCCGUUUAAAGCGGUACGCGAGCUGGGUUCAGAACGUCGUGAGACAGUUCGGUCCCUAUCCUCCGUGGGCGCAGGAGAAUCGAUGGAGGCUGCCCCCAGUACGAGAGGACCGGGGUGGACGCACCUCCGGUGAACCGGUUGUCGACCAACGGCACGGCCGGGUAGCCGCGUGCGGCGCGGAUAACCGCUGAAGGCAUCUAAGCGGGAAGCCGUUCCAGGGAUUAGUUCUCCUUCCGGUAAGGGCCCAGGUAGACUACCUGGUCGAUAGACGGCAGGUGCAAGGCUGGCGACAGCCUCAGCCGAGCCGCACUAAUCGCCCGAGCUCUUCCGGA